rnacentral:piRNA from 1 species
UCUGGGCAACAAGAGCAAAACACAGUCUUA